UUUUAUGAUUUUCAUGGACUAAACAUGGUGUGCAAUAGCAUGUUCCAUGGCAGUUUUGGUUUUUCUUGAUAUCUACUAUCACUCUUCUGAGUUUUAUCACUGCUUCAACAGAAUACUGUGUGUGUGUACAUACAUAUACAUACACACAUAUGUGGGAGGACCAUGACAAAUAUGAUUUAUAAUUUUGUUAUGUGAAAUAAUUAAAUUGUUGAACAAAGAAAUUGUAGAGGGGAGAAAACAAUUCUAAGAAUGAAAAUAAAAAUAAGCAUUGACUGAGUUGCACUGCCCUGCACAGAACUUCAUUUCUAGCAUCAUAAAUCUCAAAGACAAAACAAGGAUUAUAUAUUGUGGAUGAGAGGUCAUGUUUAUGUAGGUGUUCUAGGAAUAAUGCAGCAGAGCAGGACCACAGAAAGAAAUAAUAAACAAAGUCUGGAAUGCAUCGAAGCCUGGGGAUUUUAAGUGAAAUAUCACAUUUUAGUCCUGGACUCUAGAAUGUUAAAUAGAGGAUUGGCCACCAGCAUCUGGGGAGAAUGGACAAAAGAAGGCAGAGAGAAAGAGAACGGAUGAAAGGAGAGAGACUUUCUUCAGUCAAACAGAAGCAAGGAUUGUUCCACAGACCGGUCUGCUCCUUUCACCAUAGGACCCAACACAAUUAUUAUUCAAGUCUUGCAUACUCCAGAAACUUUCUGACUUUCAAAAAAUUCAAGAGUCAACUUUUAGGAGUAAUAGACCAAGUGUUGUCUGUAUCACAUCUGCAAAGGAAAGGAGAAAGAGAACUUGAUAGAUAUCCCUACUGAUGGUUUUACAACCACCAUCCCAUUCCUCUAACUUCACUAGACAAUCAGAUAGCUAGAUCCCAACUGUUAAAAGAGGAAGAAUAAUUUCUGCAUUGAGGCAUCAAAUUCCUGAUGGGAGUUGUGCACUGUUCUUUAUUGUCCUAGAAGAAAACCCCUGGAAACCAUGGACUUGUUACUGCCUACAAAAAAGUCCCCAGUGAACAAAGAAUAGACAGUAUGUGUAGUGACCAUUGAACAGUCAGUGUUGUCAAUAAUGAACUGUUAAGAAUCGUUGAAGCUCUUCUUGAAUUAUCAGGUAUUUAUUCUCUCCUUACGGGACAUAUCAUCAUGACUCUCUCUUUCAUCAAACCUCAAAUAAAGAUCCAAGGUGUUGACCAUACGAGUUGUUUCUCAUUGUGUUCCUGAGUCUCCCUCAUCCUUAUUCACACUACAGCCCGCAUGCUAUUGCUCAUAAGGUGUACUGCCUGUUUGUCAUUAUUAUCCUAUGCUGAUAUUGACUGGUGUCAGAAUCCUGAUUUAAUCCAUGUAAGGCUAAAGCCUGUGCAAUUGUAUUGCCCGCUGGGAUUUCACAUAUAUAACUAAUAUAACGUGUAUUGAUAUAUAAUAAUAAAAUAUAAAUUAAGAUACAAAAAUAGCAUAACAUAAAUUGAAGACAAAUAACAUAGAAAAGUUAAGCUAACCAAAUAACUUAAAAAAGCUAAUGAAAUUAACAAAGAAAGCUAAGCAAAAAAAAUCUAAUUCUAACUUUAAUUGGGGGCUGUAGGUUAGUUUAGUGAAACCCAUAAAUUUAACUAUGAAAAUCCUUUCUGUUUCUUCUUCAUAUGUUCUUUAGUUCUAUUGCUGAAUAAAACUUGAUAGUCCAAUACAAAUAUAAGAGAGAAAGACAAUAAAAGAGAGAGAAGCUAGAGAGAGUUUAUGAAGAGGUUAACUUUGACCUAUCCUAUUUAUUAUUUUAUUAUGCUCUUAUUAUCGUUAUAUUCAUUAUUGUUUAA
rnacentral:lncRNA from 1 species